rnacentral:rRNA from 1 species
GAUGAACGCUGGCGGCGUGCCUAAUACAUGCAAGUCGAGCGAACAGACGAGGAGCUUGCUCCUCUGACGUUAGCGGCGGACGGGUGAGUAACACGUGGAUAACCUACCUAUAAGACUGGGAUAACUUCGGGAAACCGGAGCUAAUACCGGAUAAUAUAUUGAACCGCAUGGUUCAAUAGUGAAAGACGGUUUUGCUGUCACUUAUAGAUGGAUCCGCGCCGCAUUAGCUAGUUGGUAAGGUAACGGCUUACCAAGGCAACGAUGCGUAGCCGACCUGAGAGAGUGAUAGGCCACACUGGAACUUAGACACGGUCCAGACUCCUACGGGAGGCAGCAGUAGGGAAUCUUCCGCAAUGGGCGAAAGCUUGACGGAGCAACGCCGCGUGAGUGAUGAAGGUCUUCGGAUCGUAAAACUCUGUUAUUAGGGAAGAACAAAUGUGUAAGUAACUAUGCACGUCUUGACGGUACCUAAUCAGAAAGCCACGGCUAACUACGUG